rnacentral:rRNA from 1 species
GGGAGUACGGCUGCAAGGCUAAACUUCAAAGGAAUUGACGGGGGCCCGCACAAGCGGCGGAGCAUGCGGAUUAAUUCGAUGCAACGCGAAGAACCUUACCUGGGUUUGACAUGGCCGCAAAACUGUCAGAGAUGGCAGGUCCUUCGGGGGCGGUCACAGGUGGUGCAUGGCUGUCGUCAGCUCGUGUCGUGAGAUGUUGGGUUAAGUCCCGCAACGAGCGCAACCCUCGUUCGAUGUUGCCAGCGCGUUAUGGCGGGGACUCAUCGAAGACUGCCGGGGUCAACUCGGAGGAAGGUGGGGAUGACGUCAAGUCAUCAUGCCCCUUAUGUCCAGGGCUUCACGCAUGCUACAAUGGCCGGUACAAUGGGCUGCGAUACCGUGAGGUGGAGCGAAUCCCAAAAAGCCGGUCUCAGUUCGGAUCGGGGUCUGCAACUCGACCCCGUGAAGUCGGAGUCGCUAGUAAUCGCAGAUCAGCAACGCUGCGGUGAAUACGUUCCCGGGCCUUGUACACACCGCCCGUCACGUCACGAAAGUCGGCAACACCCGAAGCCGGUGGCCCAACCCUUGUGGAGGGAGCC